GGCGUGUGACUGCGUACCUUUUGUAUAAUGGGUCAGCGACUUAUAUUCUGUAGCAAGGUUAACCGAAUAGGGGAGCCGAAGGGAAACCGAGUCUUAACUGGGCGUUAAGUUGCAGGGUAUAGACCCGAAACCCGGUGAUCUAGCCAUGGGCAGGUUGAAGGUUGGGUAACACUAACUGGAGGACCGAACCGACUAAUGUUGAAAAAUUAGCGGAUGACUUGUGGCUGGGGGUGAAAGGCCAAUCAAACCGGGAGAUAGCUGGUUCUCCCCGAAAGCUAUUUAGGUAGCGCCUCGUGAAUUCAUCUCCGGGGGUAGAGCACUGUUUCGGCAAGGGGGUCAUCCCGACUUACCAACCCGAUGCAAACUGCGAAUACCGGAGAAUGUUAUCACGGGAGACACACGGCGGGUGCUAACGUCCGUCGUGAAGAGGGAAACAACCCAGACCGCCAGCUAAGGUCCCAAAGUCAUGGUUAAGUGGGAAACGAUGUGGGAAGGCCCAGACAGCCAGGAUGUUGGCUUAGAAGCAGCCAUCAUUUAAAGAAAGCGUAAUAGCUCACUGGUCGAGUCGGCCUGCGCGGAAGAUGUAACGGGGCUAAACCAUGCACCGAAGCUGCGGCAGCGACGCUGAUGCGUUGUUGGGUAGGGGAGCGUUCUGUAAGCCUGCGAAGGUGUGCUGUGAGGCAUGCUGGAGGUAUCAGAAGUGCGAAUGCUGACAUAAGUAACGAUAAAGCGGGUGAAAAGCCCGCUCGCCGGAAGACCAAGGGUUCCUGUCCAACGUUAAUCGGGGCAGGGUGAGUCGACCCCUAAGGCGAGGCCGAAAGGCGUAGUCGAUGGGAAACAGGUUAAUAUUCCUGUACUUGGUGUUACUGCGAAGGGGGGACGGAGAAGGCUAUGUUGGCCGGGCGACGGUUGUCCCGGUUUAAGCGUGUAGGCUGGUUUUCCAGGCAAAUCCGGAAAAUCAAGGCUGAGGCGUGAUGACGAGGCACUACGGUGCUGAAGCAACAAAUGCCCUGCUUCCAGGAAAAGCCUCUAAGCAUCAGGUAACAUCAAAUCGUACCCCAAACCGACACAGGUGGUCAGGUAGAGAAUACCAAGGCGCUUGAGAGAACUCGGGUGAAGGAACUAGGCAAAAUGGUGCCGUAACUUCGGGAGAAGGCACGCUGAUAUGUAGGUGAGGUCCCUCGCGGAUGGAGCUGAAAUCAGUCGAAGAUACCAGCUGGCUGCAACUGUUUAUUAAAAACACAGCACUGUGCAAACACGAAAGUGGACGUAUACGGUGUGACGCCUGCCCGGUGCCGGAAGGUUAAUUGAUGGGGUCAGCGCAAGCGAAGCUCUUGAUCGAAGCCCCGGUAAACGGCGGCCGUAACUAUAACGGUCCUAAGGUAGCGAAAUUCCUUGUCGGGUAAGUUCCGACCUGCACGAAUGGCGUAAUGAUGGCCAGGCUGUCUCCACCCGAGACUCAGUGAAAUUGAACUCGCUGUGAAGAUGCAGUGUACCCGCGGCAAGACGGAAAGACCCCGUGAACCUUUACUAUAGCUUGACACUGAACAUUGAGCCUUGAUGUGUAGGAUAGGUGGGAGGCUUUGAAGUGUGGACGCCAGUCUGCAUGGAGCCGACCUUGAAAUACCACCCUUUAAUGUUUGAUGUUCUAACGUUGACCCGUAAUCCGGGUUGCGGACAGUGUCUGGUGGGUAGUUUGACUGGGGCGGUCUCCUCCUAAAGAGUAACGGAGGAGCACGAAGGUUGGCUAAUCCUGGUCGGACAUCAGGAGGUUAGUGCAAUGGCAUAAGCCAGCUUGACUGCGAGCGUGACGGCGCGAGCAGGUGCGAAAGCAGGUCAUAGUGAUCCGGUGGUUCUGAAUGGAAGGGCCAUCGCUCAACGGAUAAAAGGUACUCCGGGGAUAACAGGCUGAUACCGCCCAAGAGUUCAUAUCGACGGCGGUGUUUGGCACCUCGAUGUCGGCUCAUCACAUCCUGGGGCUGAAGUAGGUCCCAAGGGUAUGGCUGUUCGCCAUUUAAAGUGGUACGCGAGCUGGGUUUAGAACGUCGUGAGACAGUUCGGUCCCUAUCUGCCGUGGGCGCUGGAGAACUGAGGGGGGCUGCUCCUAGUACGAGAGGACCGGAGUGGACGCAUCACUGGUGUUCGGGUUGUCAUGCCAAUGGCACUGCCCGGUAGCUAAAUGCGGAAGAGAUAAGUGCUGAAAGCAUCUAAGCACGAAACUUGCCCCGAGAUGAGUUCUCCCUGACCCUUUAAGGGUCCUGAAGGAACGUUGAAGACGACGACGUUGAUAGGCCGGGUGUGUAAGCGCAGCGAUGCGUUGAGCUAACCGGUACUAAUGAACCGUGAGGCUUAACCUUACAACGCCGAAG
rnacentral:rRNA from 1 species